rnacentral:rRNA from 1 species
UAAUACGAAGGUGGCAAGCGUUGUUCGGAUUUACUGGGCGUACAGGGAGCGUAGGCGGUUGGGUAAGCCCUCCGUGAAAUCUCCGGGCCUAACCCGGAAAGUGCGGAGGGGACUGCUCGGCUAGAGGAUGGGAGAGGAGCGCGGAAUUCCCGGUGUAGCGGUGAAAUGCGUAGAGAUCGGGAGGAAGGCCGGUGGCGAAGGCGGCGCUCUGGAACAUUUCUGACGCUGAGGCUCGAAAGCGUGGGGAGCAAACAGGAUUAGAUACCCUGGUAGUCCACGCCUUAAACGAUGAAUACUAAGUGUCGGCGGGUUACCGCCGGUGCCGCAGCUAACGCAUUAAGUAUUCCGCCUGGGAAGUACGGCCGCAAGGUUGAAACUUAAAGGAAUUGACGG